CUAUGAAGUUUUUCAUGCUGUCAUGCUGGAAUUUGAUCCAAAUGUUUAAAUUAUCAAGAACCUGAAAAGUUGUGUUCUAAAUAAUUAUGCAUUUCACAUGUCCUCUUGGAGUAUUUUUUUUUUAAGACAGAGUCUGGAGUCCUUCUUGAUCCUGAAGUGUAUUAGGUGCCGCUGUUGCUGCUCGUGUUAAAUCCAGAACCGUAGCUGGACAUGGGUCUGGAGGACGUACAAAAGAUGCUGACUGGAUCUGGAGAUCCCAAAGAGGAGGAAAAGGAAGAGGAGGAAUUAGUGGAUCCCCUAACAACAGUGAGAGAGCAAUGUGAGCAGCUGGAGAAAUGUGUAAAGGCCCGGGAGCGGCUAGAGGUCUGUGGUGAGCGUGUCUCCUCCUGGUCACAUAUAGAAGAGGAUUGCACAGAGGAGCUCUUUGACUUCUUGCAUGCAAGGGACCACUGCGUGGCCCACAAACUCUUCAACAGCCUGAAAUAAAUGUGCAGACUCAUUCACAUCAGCCUUCAUCACCUGGGCAUCAGGAUUUUGAAUAUGCCAUUUGUUUUUAAUUUGUGUAAAAGUUCAUAUGAACCUCAUGGAUUUUGGCUUAGGCAAGUAGCUUCUGUGUAAUUAGCAGUGAUUCCAUCUUAAUAAAAUUUUGGGAACUGCAAAAAAAAAAAAA